rnacentral:rRNA from 1 species
AGUGAACGCUGGCGGCGUGCCUAACACAUGCAAGUCGAGCGGGGUUACUGCUGUAGCAAUACAGUGUGUGCCCAGCGGCAGACGGGUGAGUAACACGUAGACAACUUACCUCUUAGAGGGGGAUAGCCCGCCGAAAGGCGGGGUAAUACCGCGUAAGAUCAAGAUCUGGCAUCGGAUUUUGAUGAAACGUCCGCAAGGACGGCUGAGAGAAGGGUCUGCGGCCUANCAGCUAGUUGGUGAGGUAAUGGCUCACCAAGGCUACGACGGGUAUCCGACCUGAAAGGGUGACCGGACACACUGACACUGAGACACGGGUCAGACUCCUACGGGAGGCAGCAGUGAGGAAUUUUGGACAAUGGGGAAACCCUGAUCCAGCGACGCCGCGUGAAGGAUGAAGGUCUUCGGAUU